UACGGAGGAUGCAAGCGUUAUCCGGAUUUAUUGGGUUUAAAGGGUGCGCAGGUUGUUUGAUAAGUCAGUGGUGAAAGUCUGUCGCUUAACGGUAGGGUUGCCAUUGAUACUGUUAGACUUGAAUAUGGAUGAGGUAGGCGGAAUGUGUAGUGUAGCGGUGAAAUGCAUAGAUAUUACACAGAACACCGAUAGCGAAGGCAGCUUACUAAUCCAUCAUUGACGCUGAGGCACGAAAGCGUGGGGAUCAAACAGGA
rnacentral:rRNA from 1 species